rnacentral:rRNA from 1 species
CCUACGGGGGGCUGCAGUGAGGAAUAUUGGUCAAUGGACGAGAGUCUGAACCAGCCAAGUAGCGUGAAGGAUGACUGCCCUAUGGGUUGUAAACUUCUUUUAUAUGGGAAUAAAAUGUUCCACGUGUGGGAUUUUGUAUGUACCAUAUGAAUAAGGAUCGGCUAACUCCGUGCCAGCAGCCGCGGUAAUACGGAGAAUCCGAGCGUUAUCCGGAUUUAUUGGGUUUAAAGGGAGCGUAGGUGGAUUGUUAAGUCAGUUGUGAAAGUUUGCGGCUCAACCGUAAAAUUGCAGUUGAAACUGGCAGUCUUGAGUACAGUAGAGGUGGGCGGAAUUCGUGGUGUAGCGGUGAAAUGCUUAGAUAUCACGAAGAACUCCGAUUGCGAAGGCAGUUCACUGGACUGCAACUGACACUGAGGCUCGAAAGUGUGGGUAUCAAACAGGAUUAGAUACCCGAGUAGUC